rnacentral:rRNA from 1 species
CCUACGGGAGGCAGCAGUGAGGAAUAUUGGUCAAUGGGCGCGAGCCUGAACCAGCCAAGUCGCGUGAGGGAAGACGGUCCUAUGGAUUGUAAACCUCUUUUGUCGGGGAGCAAAAGACGCCACGCGUGGCGUUCCGAGAGUACCCGAAGAAAAAGCAUCGGCUAACUCCGUGCCAGCAGCCGCGGUAAUACGGAGGAUGCGAGCGUUAUCCGGAUGUAUUGGGUUUAAAGGGUGCGCAGGCGGAAGAUCAAGUCAGCGGUAAAAUUGAGAGGCUCAACCUCUUCGAGCCGUUGAAACUGGUUUUCUUGAGUGAGUGAGAAGUAUGCGGAAUGCGUGUUGUAGCGGUGAAAUGCAUAGAUAUCACGCAGAACUCCGAUUGCGAAGGCAGCAUACCGGCGCUCAACUGACGCUCAUGCACGAAAGUGUGGGUAUCGAACAGGAUUAGAUACCCGGGUAGUC